rnacentral:sRNA from 1 species
GCUGGGAGCAGUGGUGUUAUCCUGUAAUCUCAGCAGCUUGGGAAGCAGAAGCAGGAGAAUCACAAGUUCAAAGCCAGCCUCAGCAAUAGUGAGAUGCUAGCAACUCUGUGAGACCCUGUUUCUA